GUGAGCUCCUCUCUCUCUCCCCGCGGAGCAAACCCUAGCCCAUCUCUCCCCCGCACACCCCUCCUCCUCCCUUCCAGAUCGCAGCCGCCACCUCCUCCCUUCCAGAUUGCCGCCACCACCUCCCUCCCGCGGAGCUCCCCGCCAUACAUGGCCUCCCCCACACCCUCCUCCUCUCUCCCAUCCCCUUCACUCACCGUGAGCCCUUCUCCCUCGCGAGCCCUCUCUCUAUCCCUCCCGCGACUCCUCUGCUCCACCCGAUUCCGGCGAGUUGAGGUGGGAUCUGCCACAUCCGGCAACGGCGAGGCCAGAGGUGGCCAGAUCUGACACCGGUAAGCCCCUCCCGUCCAGGCUCGCCCGGUACCUCGACCCCGACGCAUCUUUGGACAAGGACAAGUUGUUGGAUGCGGUGCACUGGAUCCGGCAGGCGGUGGGGAUCGCCCGCGGCCUAGUCUGGGGCGUCGUCCCCCUUGUCGGUGCCUUCUGGAUCGCCCUCUUUCACGGACUCUAGUUUACAGCUUGGCUCACUUCUGAGAAGCCCGUCUACAGAACUAUGAUGCUGGAUAUUCGCAGUUUAUUUCAUUCACUCUUUUGUGCAAUUAGCUAUCAUGGAUGCAAUAUCAUAGUAUUAUAGAACAACGUCAUGGAGUUGUACAAUAACUUAUUGUGUUAUGUAAACUUGGAAGAUGUAUUAUGUGAUGUUAUAUGAUGGAUGAUUUUAAUUCGA